rnacentral:rRNA from 1 species
UACGAAGGAUGCAAGCGUUAUCCGGAUUCAUUGGGUUUAAAGGGAGCGUAGGUGGCCUUAUAAGUCAGUGGUGAAAUCUCGCAGCUCAACUGCGAAAUUGCCAUUGAUACUGUAGGGCUUGAGUACAGUUGCUGUGGGCGGAAUAUGUCAUGUAGUGGUGAAAUACAUAGAGAUGUCAUAGAACACCGAUUGCGAAGGCAGCUCACAAAACUGUAACUGACACUGAGGCUCGAAAGUGCGGGGAUCAAACAGG